GGGGACGCGUGGUUUCGACAGGGGGUGUUUGGACAGAAUUGCAGGCCGAGGGCGCCAUCAGGCCUCGUUAAAAGGUGGCACAACUGUAACUGGCGAGCGCGAGUUCGCACUCGCUGCCUAAGUAGGCAGCGACGUCCGCCUUCUCCUCUCCUCGAAGGGGGAGACCGGGCGCCACGAAGUCGAGGUGCCGCCUAUCCUGACGUCGCUAGGGGCAGGCGAAAGUUUCCAGCGGCUGGCCUGGAGCGACCCCGUCGGUCGGGGCGGUCCGGGCGAGAAACAAAGGGCCGGCUAAACCUGUAGCACAUUCUGUCGAGGUAUCCUUUGGACGGGGAGUUCGACUCUCCCCCGUCUCCACCA
rnacentral:tmRNA from 1 species